UGGGGAAUAUUGGACAAUGGGCGAAAGCCUGAUCCAGCCAUGCCGCGUGUGUGAAGAAGGUCUUCGGAUUGUAAAGCACUUUAAGUUGGGAGGAAGGGCAGUAAGCGAAUACCUUGCUGUUUUGACGUUACCGACAGAAUAAGCACCGGCUAACUCUGUGCCAGCAGCCGCGGUAAUACAGAGGGUGCAAGCGUUAAUCGGAAUUACUGGGCGUAAAGCGCGCGUAGGUGGUUCGUUAAGUUGAAUGUGAAAGCCCCGGGCUCAACCUGGGAACUGCAUCCAAAACUGGCGAGCUGGAGUAGGGCAGAAGGUGGUGGAAUUUCCUGUGUAGCGGUGAAAUGCGUAGAUAUAGGAAGGAACACCAGUGGCGAAGGCGACCACCUGGGCUCAUACUGACACUGAGGUGCGAAAGCGUGGGGAGCAAACAAG
rnacentral:rRNA from 1 species